UGGGGAAUCUUCCGCAAUGGACGAAAGUCUGACGGAGCAACGCCGCGUGAACGAUGACGGCCUUCGGGUUGUAAAGUUCUGUUAUACGGGACGAAUGGCGUAGCGGUCAAUACCCGUUACGAGUGACGGUACCGUAAGAGAAAGCCACGGCUAACUACGUGCCAGCAGCCGCGGUAAUACGUAGGUGGCGAGCGUUGUCCGGAAUUAUUGGGCGUAAAGGGAGCGCAGGCGGGAGAUCAAGUCUAUCUUAAAAGUGCGGGGCUCAACCCCGUGAGGGGAUGGAAACUGGUCUUCUUGAGUGCAGGAGAGGAAAGCGGAAUUCCUAGUGUAGCGGUGAAAUGCGUAGAUAUUAGGAGGAACACCAGUGGCGAAGGCGGCUUUCUGGACUGUAACUGACGCUGAGGCUCGAAAGCGUGGGGAGCGAACAGGAUUAGAUACCCUGGUAGU
rnacentral:rRNA from 1 species